UGUUUUGAGUGAUAUUUUUAAAAUAAGUCUAAGGAGUAUUAAUUAAUACACUAAUGAGAAAUCAUUAUUAUUUUACCGUUUAGAAUUACACAAUACAAGUAUAAAAAUGUACAAACUGAAAAUACUUCCAAGUAAAACAUGCUACAGAAGAAGUAAAAUAUGCUAAAAUCUUUUUAAGUCAUUUCUAUUGAUGUUUUUAUUAUAUCCUUUUUAUAUUAUAACUAACAUUUUAAAAUUAUAUGCAUGAAAUAAUUCAAACAAUAUAUAUUGAAACUUUGAAAAUAGGGAAGAUAUAGCAAUAAAAUGAAAAAGGUCUUACAAUAAAAUUUGAAAUUUAACUAGGCACAUGAAAGUUCAACCAAAUUUCUAGAUUUUUGGGUGUGAGAUGACAAGGGCUUUCCUAGAAAUAAGUUUAGAUACUUUUGUAUUUUUAUAUACAUUUUUUGUCCACUAUAUAACUUCUUCGAAAAUUUUAAUCAUCAGAUAAUUGAGUAAAACUUAAUUGUCCAAAUUGUUGUAUAAGAUUCUAGUAGUGUUUUAUUUUAAUGUACAUAUAUUACAUUUUAAGUUGAUAUUUAUUAUAUUAGUUACACAGAGUUGUUGUUACAUUUUAAAUUAUGCUUAAAUUGUAGACUACUAUAAUAAAUUUUAGACAGUCCCAAAAAUUGUAGAUUAUAAUAUCAAAUCUAAUGCAAAUCCAAAUAUGUCAAGUUUUAUAAUACUUAUGUCGACUUCUGUCAUUAUUACAUAGAGACGUUUAUAAUGUGUCAACUACAAUAUCUAGUUGCACACUUUAGUUUUUAUAGAUAAGAAAGGUUAUAUGAGGGGGCUCUUAUACCAUAACCUCUGCAUCCUAACUCCUCAAACAAACCAUUCACUUCAACGUCGAUUACUGGUAUUGACUACCUCCUGUUAUGAAAAUAUAGGCAGAUGAGAAAACACAAAUUCUAUGUCAUUUUCAUUGGGCGUAUCACAAAGAUCUAUCUGUCCUGGCAUGAAUGUCAUGGAUAAGUUAGUGGGUACAAGUGGGUAUUAUACAAAUCCUAUGAAACAUUCUAUGAAGCAGAGAACGCGUAUAGGUUUUACAGUACAACGCACAUUGAACAAGUUAGUAACCAGGGCGUAGGACAAUGUAGUACAAUUAUUGUAACUGUAAUAGGUUUCAUUUUUUGGGAUGAACGUAAUGUUUACUUGGCUCGGGAUAGUCAGAUAUGAGUGAUGUCCUAGGUUGACACGACUUGUCAUUUUGUAACUAAACCCAAGUUCACUGAUUCUAAGCAUAAUUCAUUCUUUCAUGAUCUACAUACUUCCACUAUUACCUAGUAAGAUGGAGACUGUUCAAGAGCUGUUUAAAAUCAUAACAAUUAUUAUUGAGUCUCAAAGACAAUUAUUCUUCACUUUGGCAACGCUGCUUAACAACAAUAGAAGGAUAGAAUAACAACCAGCAAACGUUAGACACUGCAUUCAACAAUUAACGUUCUUCCACCUCAUUUAUGAGAGUGACUUGGCUGUCGUGAGAGUACUCGGAUGGAUAGAAAGACGUUUAUGAUUUUAUGCAACAUGAUUAGAAUGAUGGAAUGUUUGGAGUCAGGUAGAUGUGUUGGUAUUGAAGAGAUAGUGACAAAUUUCCUACACAUUCUUGCUCAUGAUGUGAAGAAUAAAGUAGUACGCAUACAUUUUUUGAGAUCUGGCGAGACGGUUUCGAGAUAUUUCAUUGCAGUUCUUAGAGCAAUAAUACAGCUACACACUGUGUUGUUGAAAACCCCCGAACCAGGUAUAAGUGAAUGUACAGAUGGACGAUGGAAAUGGUUUAAGAUAGAAAAAAGUUCCAGUACUAUCCCAUUAAUGCAUUUGAAAUAAAUUAUGCUGACAUCUUCUCAAAUUAUCAUGAUUAAAUAAUUUCAACAGAAUUUCCUGGGGGCAUUGGACGACACGUGCGUGAAAAUGAAUGCCAGUGUCGUAGAUCGACCAUGAUAUAGAACGAGGAAGGGGGAAAUUGUCACAAAUGUUCUUGUGGUAUGUGACCAAAACGGAGAAUUCAUCUUCGUUAUGCCAGGCUGGGAGGGCUUGGCCGCCUACUCUAGGGUCCUGAGGGAUGCAGUUGCGCGACCGCAUAAAUUGAGGGUUCCAAUGGGGUACUACUACCUGUGCGACACUGGCUACCCUAAUGUUGAAGGAUUUUUGGCUCCGUAUAGAGGGGAACGCUACCAUCUCUCAGACUAAUGUGGAGUGGGCAACACACCGACAACACCGAAAGAAUUUUUCAACAUGAAGCAUUCGUCAGCAAGAAAUAUUAUCGAGCGAGCAUUCAGACUUUUGAAGGUCGAUGGACAAUUCUGAGGGGAAAAUCCUUCUACCUAGUAUAGGUUCAAUGUCGAACGAUAACUGCGUGUUUCCUGAUUCAAAACUUAAUCACAAGGGAGAUGGGGAUCAAUGCUGCACUUGAUGAUUCGCUGGAUAAGAAUUUUGCUUCUGCUAUUACGGAAGGAGAGAAUAUUGAAUUUAUUGAGACCUCGAAUGAAUGGACCAAAUUUAGAGAUCAUUUGGCUGCCAAAAUAUUUUCUCAAUGGCAAAUAUCACGAUUAACUUUUCUGAAGAAAGACAUAUUUGAACAUCUUAUCUAUUUGUUGAACAAUAUUUCAUGCUUCAUUUAUGUCGAGAACAUUUUUAGUUCGACUAUUUCAAUCCAUGGUUUUAGUUUUUUAUUUUAUAACAUGUCACACGAAGCUGUUUAAUUUUCAGUAAUGUCUUUACAAUGUAUGCAUGGAUGAAUUAGAAUGGCAGGCAAUGGAAAAAGAUCGAAACACACGGGGACAAAAGCAGAGGACGCUGGGUUGGUCAAUGUUCUAACCUCUUUGGUGGAGUCCGGUUGGAAGUUUAACAAUGGGACCUUCCUGUCGGGAUAUCUACAACACUUGGAGCAAAUAAUGGACGAGAAUUUCUCGGAUGUGGCCUAAACCAGGAUACUACCAAAUACAAGAUUAGAAGUCUGAAGAAAAUAUUCGACAGUAACGGAGAUGUUAUAUCAAUCAGGGUUCAGAUGGAACGAGGAGUUUAAGUGCGCUCAGGUGGACAGGGAGAUCUUCGACGUUUGGGUUCCAAUAUGUUUUUUAAAAUAUUAAAAAAUUUACACCAAACCUACUUUUAUAUAAUUUCUAAUAUUGCUUUCAUAUAUGAAUUUAGUCAUCAUAACACAAAGGGAUUGAACAAGCCAUCCCUUCAUACGAUGAACUAUCAAGUGUGUUUGGGAAGGAUAAGGCAACCGGGCACUAUUGCGAGCCACCAGUGGUGAUGGUGUCAAAUUUGUUCCUGGAAAUGGAAGAUGAGAUUUGGCUAGGGUCACAAGAAUACCCUACACUUGAUAAUGAACAAAUCCAAUUGUCUGAGGAUGCGAUGGAAGAAGAUCAAGGAGAUAUGUCCACGGGGAGAGCAAGUGUACCAAAUAUUUUCAAUGGCAGAGUGAGCGUAUCAACAAAUCCAUCUAGAGGAAGUAAGAGGAAAUGAAUCACCUUCCAGAAUGAAAUGAUUGACAUCAUGCGAUCAACCACUGAUAUACAGUCAACACAUAUGUGCAGACUCGUUGUGUGACAAGUCGGGAAAUAUGAAAUGGAAUUUGGACGUCGAAAGGAGGUAGUUUAGGCCAUAUUUGGUAUUGAAUGGCUCACUGAGGAUGAUAGAUGUGACCUGAUUGAGAAAAUUGGCAUGGACAUACAAAAAACGGACCUCUUCUUAAUUGUACCAGAAGAGAAAUGGCUACGGUACUAUACUCAGCUACUUGCCCGGACCCACUAGACUGACCACCUAAUAUUUCAACCUGAAAAAACAUAUAUUUUGUGAUUUUUUUAAAUGGCCAAAUGUUCGGUCGAUUGAUAUUACUUUUGUGAUCUUCAGAACAAUGUUACUGUGAAGGUAAUUAUCCUACGCACAAUUUCAGUUCCAGAUAUACGAUUCAUAUUAUAUAAAAAUAAACUGGUAAGUUAUCCAGUUAUUCAA